CGACCGGCGCACGGGUGAGUAACACGUAUCCAACCUGCCGUCUACUCUUGGCCAGCCUUCUGAAAGGAAGAUUAAUCCGGGAUGGGAUCAUGAGUUCACAUGUCCGCAUGAUUAAAGGUAUUUUCCGGUAGACGAUGGGGAUGCGUUCCAUUAGAUAGUAGGCGGGGUAACGGCCCACCUAGUCAACGAUGGAUAGGGGUUCUGAGAGGAAGGUCCCCCACAUUGGAACUGAGACACGGUCCAA
rnacentral:rRNA from 1 species